rnacentral:siRNA from 1 species
GUGGAGAUGUGGAGAUCGUGG